rnacentral:rRNA from 1 species
UGGGUAACCUGCCUUGUACAGGGGGAUAACAGUCAGAAAUGACUGCUAAUACCGCAUAAGCGCACAGGACCGCAUGGUCCGGUGUGAAAAACUCCGGUGGUAUAAGAUGGACCCGCGUUGGAUUAGCCAGUUGGUGAGGUAACGGCCCACCAAGGCGACGAUCCAUAGCCGGCCUGAGAGGGUGAACGGCCACAUUGGGACUGAGACACGGCCCAGACUCCUACGGGAGGCAGCAGUGGGGAAUAUUGCACAAUGGGGGAAACCCUGAUGCAGCGACGCCGCGUGAAGGAAGAAGUAUCUCGGUAUGUAAACUUCUAUCAGCAGGGAAGAAAAUGACGGUACCUGACUAAGAAGCCCCGGCUAACUACGUGCCAGCAGCCGCGGUAAUACGUAGGGGGCAAGCGUUAUCCGGAUUUACUGGGUGUAAAGGGAGCGUAGACGGAUGGACAAGUCUGAUGUGAAAGGCUGGGGCUCAACCCCGGGACUGCAUUGGAAACUGCCCGUCUUGAGUGCCGGAGAGGUAAGCGGAAUUCCUAGUGUAGCGGUGAAAUGCGUAGAUAUUAGGAGGAACACCAGUGGCGAAGGCGGCUUACUGGACGGUAACUGACGUUGAGGCUCGAAAGCGUGGGGGAGCAAACAGGAUUAGAUACCCUGG